ACCUGGGUGGCUCAGUCGGUAGAGCGGGAGACUCUUGAUCUCCGGGUCAUGGGUCUGAGCCCCACCUUGGACG
rnacentral:tRNA from 1 species